rnacentral:lncRNA from 1 species
UAUCGUUGUUAUGGGCUAUUGGUAUCCUUUUAACUUCACAUUCCUCUGCAAUUGAUUCUCUUGCGGAUAAGAAUGUACAUUUAGUAAAUUUUAAAGUCUUUAAGUCCAUUCUGACAAAAAAAUAAAGUCUUUAAGUUCUCCAGUAUAAUUAGUAAAUCUGUUAUUCCGAUUGAAUGUAUCAACUAUAAUGUGAAGCAGAAUCAUAAAUAAAUAUUUGAUUAACAAGGUAAUAUUUCUGAUUUGAUAACCAUGGAUGACCAGUUUACUGCAGAACUGAAACCAAAGUUGAAUCAUCCUUGAUCAUCAAGUAAAAAGAUAUCAAUGUCAUCUCUCGGAAAAUAGAGAAGACCAUACAAUUACACAAUACAUAUUCUUGCGCAGCGAUCGCACACAAAUUUCUUAGACAUCAACAGAGAUUAUUUUCAGAAGCUCAGUACAGGAUUUCGAAACUAGGCCUAUUUAUCAACUUGGUUAAUCUUGCCAAGACCAUUGCAAUUAGCACAAACAAUCUGAACUUGAUCCUUCCGGGCAGCAUUAGCCCUCAAUGCAGCCCCUCCUUUCCGCACAAAACCNAAUGUGAAGCAGAAUCAUAAAUAAAUAUUUGAUUAACAAGGUAAUAUUUCUGAUUUGAUAACCAUGGAUGACCAGUUUACUGCAGAACUGAAACCAAAGUUGAAUCAUCCUUGAUCAUCAAGUAAAAAGAUAUCAAUGU